rnacentral:rRNA from 1 species
AUUGAACGCUGGCGGCAGGCCUAACACAUGCAAGUCGAACGGUAACAGGAAGAAGCUUGCUUCUUUGCUGACGAGUGGCGGACGGGUGAGUAAUGUCUGGGAAACUGCCUGAUGGAGGGGGAUAACUACUGGAAACGGUAGCUAAUACCGCAUAACGUCGCAAGACCAAAGAGGGGGACCUUCGGGCCUCUUGCCAUCGGAUGUGCCCAGGUGGGAUUAGCUAGUAGGUGGGGUAACGGCUCACCUAGGCGACCAUCCCUAGCUGGUCUGAGAGGAUGACCGGCCACACUGGAACUGAGACACGGACCAGACUCCUACGGGAGGCAGCAGUGGGGAAUAUUGCACAAUGGGCGCAAGCCUGAUGCAGCCAUGCCGAGUGUAUGAAGAAGGCCUUCGGGUUGUAAAGUACGUUCAGCGGGGAGGAAGGGAGUAAAGUUAAUACCUUUGCUGAUUGACGUUACCCGCAGAAGAAGCACCGGCUAACUACGUG